CGACGCUGGCGGCAGGCUUAACACAUGCAAGUCGAGCGCCCUCGACGGGGAGCGGCAGACGGGUGAGUAACGCGUGGGAAUCUACCCAUCUCUACGGAAUAACUCAGGGAAACGUGUGCUAAUACCGUAUACGCCCUUAGGGGGAAAGAUUUAUCGGGGAUGGAUGAGCCCGCGUUGGAUUAGCUAGUUGGUGGGUAAAGGCCUACCAAGGCGACGAUCCAUAGCUGGUCUGAGAGGAUGAUCAGCCACAUUGGGACUGAGACACGGCCCAAACUCCUACGGGAGGCAGCAGUGGGGAAUAUUGGACAAUGGGCGCAAGCCUGAUCCAGCCAUGCCGCGUGAGUGAUGAAGGCCCUAGGGUUGUAAAGCUCUUUCACCGGUGAAGAUAAUGACGGUACCGAGAGAAUAAGCCCCGGCUAACUCCGUG
rnacentral:rRNA from 1 species